UGUUUCGGCAAGGGGGUCAUCCCGACUUACCAACCCGAUGCAAACUGCGAAUACCGGAGAAUGUUAUCACGGGAGACACACGGCGGGUGCUAACGUCCGUCGUGAAGAGGGAAACAACCCAGACCGCCAGCUAAGGUCCCAAAGUCAUGGUUAAGUGGGAAACGAUGUGGGAAGGCCCAGACAGCCAGGAUGUUGGCUUAGAAGCAGCCAUCAUUUAAAGAAAGCGUAAUAGCUCACUGGUCGAGUCGGCCUGCGCGGAAGAUGUAACGGGGCUAAACCAUGCACCGAAGCUGCGGCAGCGACGCUUAUGCGUUGUUGGGUAGGGGAGCGUUCUGUAAGCCUGUGAAGGUGUGCUGUGAGGCAUGCUGGAGGUAUCAGAAGUGCGAAUGCUGACAUAAGUAACGAUAAAGCGGGUGAAAAGCCCGCUCGCCGGAAGACCAAGGGUUCCUGUCCAACGUUAAUCGGGGCAGGGUGAGUCGACCCCUAAGGCGAGGCCGAAAGGCGUAGUCGAUGGGAAACAGGUUAAUAUUCCUGUACUUGGUGUUACUGCGAAGGGGGGACGGAGAAGGCUAUGUUGGCCGGGCGACGGUUGUCCCGGUUUAAGCGUGUAGGCUGGUUUUCCAGGCAAAUCCGGAAAAUCAAGGCUGAGGCGUGAUGACGAGGCACUACGGUGCUGAAGCAACAAAUGCCCUGCUUCCAGGAAAAGCCUCUAAGCAUCAGGUAACAUCAAAUCGUACCCCAAACCGACACAGGUGGUCAGGUAGAGAAUACCAAGGCGCUUGAGAGAACUCGGGUGAAGGAACUAGGCAAAAUGGUGCCGUAACUUCGGGAGAAGGCACGCUGAUAUGUAGGUGAAGUCCCUCGCGGAUGGAGCUGAAAUCAGUCGAAGAUACCAGCUGGCUGCAACUGUUUAUUAAAAACACAGCACUGUGCAAACACGAAAGUGGACGUAUACGGUGUGACGCCUGCCCGGUGCCGGAAGGUUAAUUGAUGGGGUCAGCGCAAGCGAAGCUCUUGAUCGAAGCCCCGGUAAACGGCGGCCGUAACUAUAACGGUCCUAAGGUAGCGAAAUUCCUUGUCGGGUAAGUUCCGACCUG
rnacentral:rRNA from 1 species